rnacentral:rRNA from 1 species
GACGAACGCUGGCGGCGUUCUUAACACAUGCAAGUCGAGCGGAAAGGCCCUUCGGGGUACUCGAGCGGCGAACGGGUGAGUAACACGUGAGUAACCUGCCCCAGACUUUGGGAUAACCCUCGGAAACGGGGGCUAAUACCGGAUACGACACAGCUUCGCAUGGGGUCUGUGUGGAAAGUUUUUCGGUUUGGGAUGGGCUCGCGGCCUAUCAGCUUGUUGGUGGGGUGAUGGCCUACCAAGGCGACGACGGGUAGCCGGCCUGAGAGGGCGACCGGCCACACUGGGACUGAGACACGGCCCAGACUCCUACGGGAGGCAGCAGUGGGGAAUAUUGCACAAUGGGCGGAAGCCUGAUGCAGCGACGCCGCGUGAGGGAUGACGGCCUUCGGGUUGUAAACCUCUUUCAGCAGGGACGAAGCGUAAGUGACGGUACCUGCAGAAGAAGCGCCGGCCAACUACGUG